CGUUGAAAAGUUAGGGGAUGAGCUGUGGAUAGGGGUGAAAGGCUAAACAAACCUGGAAAUAGCUGGUUCUCUCCGAAAACUAUUUAGGUAGUGCCUCGUGUCUCACCUUCGGGGGUAGAGCACUGUCAUGGUUGGGGGUCUAUUGCAGAUUACCCCGCCAUAGCAAACUCCGAAUACCGAAGAGUGCAAUCACGGGAGACAGACAUCGGGUGCUAACGUCCGGUGUCAAGAGGGAAACAACCCAGACCGCCAGCUAAGGUCCCCAAAUAUAGCUAAGUGGGAAACGAAGUGGGAAGGCUAAAACAGUCAGGAGGUUGGCUUAGAAGCAGCCACCCUUUAAAGAAAGCGUAAUAGCUCACUGAUCGAGUCGUCCUGCGCGGAAGAUGUAACGGGGCUAAGCUAUAUACCGAAGCUGCGGAUGCGAGCUUGCUCGCAUGGUAGGAGAGCGUUCCGUAAGCCUGCGAAGGUGCCUUGUAAAGGGUGCUGGAGGUAUCGGAAGUGCGAAUGCUGACAUGAGUAGCGAUAAAGGGGGUGAAAGGCCCCCUCGCCGUAAGCCCAAGGUUUCCUACGCAACGUUCAUCGGCGUAGGGUGAGUCGGCCCCUAAGGCGAGGCAGAAAUGCGUAGCUGAUGGGAAGCAGGUCAAUAUUCCUGCACCAUUGUUAGAUGCGAUGGGGGGACGGAUCGCGGAAGGUUGUCCGGGUGUUGGAAGUCCCGGUCGCUGCAUUGGAGAAGGCGCUUAGGCAAAUCCGGGCGCGUAAUUCAAGGGUGUGGCGCGAGCUCCUUAGGGAGCGAAGCAAUUGGAAGUGGUUCCAAGAAAAGCCUCUAAGCUUCAGUCUAACGAUGACCGUACCGCAAACCGACACAGGUGGGCGAGAUGAGUAUUCUAAGGCGCUUGAGAGAACUCGGGAGAAGGAACUCGGCAAAUUGGUACCGUAACUUCGGGAUAAGGUACGCCCUUGUAGCUUGACUGGCCUGCGCCAGGAGGGUGAAGGGGUUGCAAUAAACUGGUGGCUGCGACUGUUUAAUAAAAACACAGCACUCUGCAAACACGAAAGUGGACGUAUAGGGUGUGACGCCUGCCCGGUGCCGGAAGAUUAAAUGAUGGGGUGCAAGCUCUUGAUUGAAGUCCCGGUAAACGGCGGCCGUAACUAUAACGGUCCUAAGGUAGCGAAAUUCCUUGUCGGGUAAGUUCCGACCUGCACGAAUGGCGUAACGAUGGCCACACUGUCUCCUCCCGAGACUCAGCGAAGUUGAAGUGUUUGUGAUGAUGCAAUCUACCCGCGGCUAGACGGAGAGACCCCAUGAACCUUUACUGUAGCUUUGCAUUGGACUUUGAACCGAUCUGUGUAGGAUAGGUGGGAGGCUAUGAAGCCGGAACGCUAGUUUCGGUGGAGCCGUCCUUGAAAUACCACCCUGGUUUGUUUGAGGUUCUAACCUUGGCCCGUGAUCCGGGUCGGGGACAGUGCAUGGUAGGCAGUUUGACUGGGGCGGUCUCCUCCCAAAGCGUAACGGAGGAGUACGAAGGUACGCUAGGUACGGUCGGAAAUCGUGCUGAUAGUGCAAUGGCAUAAGCGUGCUUAACUGCGAGACCGACAAGUCGAGCAGGUGCGAAAGCAGGUCAUAGUGAUCCGGUGGUUCUGUAUGGAAGGGCCAUCGCUCAACGGAUAAAAGGUACUCUGGGGAUAACAGGCUGAUACCGCCCAAGAGUUCAUAUCGACGGCGGUGUUUGGCACCUCGAUGUCGGCUCAUCUCAUCCUGGGGCUGUAGCCGGUCCCAAGGGUAUGGCUGUUCGCCAUUUAAAGAGGUACGUGAGCUGGGUUUAAAACGUCGUGAGACAGUUUGGUCCCUAUCUGCCGUGGGCGUUGGAUAUUUGAAGGGGGCUGCUCCUAGUACGAGAGGACCGGAGUGGACGAACCUCUGGUGUACCGGUUGUCACGCCAGUGGCAUCGCCGGGUAGCUAUGUUCGGAAGAGAUAACCGCUGAAAGCAUCUAAGCGGGAAACUCGCCUUAAGAUGAGAUAUCCCUGGGGACUAGAUCCCCUUGAAGGGUCGUUCGAGACCAGGACGUUGAUAGGUCAGGUGUGUAAGCGCAGUAAUGCGUUCAGCUAACUGAUACUAAUUGCCCGUAAGGCUUGAUCCUAUAACA
rnacentral:rRNA from 1 species